UACGUAGGGUGCGAGCGUUAAUCGGAAUUACUGGGCGUAAAGCGUGCGCAGGCGGUUUUGGAAGUCAGAUGUGAAAUCCCCGGGCUUAACCUGGGAACUGCGUUUGAAACUACAAGGCUAGAGUGUGGCAGAGGGGGGUGGAAUUCCGCGUGUAGCAGUGAAAUGCGUAGAGAUGCGGAGGAACACCGAUGGCGAAGGCAGCCCCCUGGGCUGACACUGACGCUCAGGCACGAAAGCGUGGGGAGCAAACAGG
rnacentral:rRNA from 1 species